AGAGUUUGAUCCUGGCUCAGGAUGAACGCUGGCGGCGUGCUUAACACAUGCAAGUCGAACGAACCUUCGGGUUAGUGGCGGACGGGUGAGUAACGCGUGGGAAUCUGCCCUCAGGAGGGGGAUAACGGCUGGAAACGGCCGCUAAUACCCCAUAUGCCGAGAGGUGAAAUGAAUUUCGCCUGAGGAUGAGCCCGCGUCUGAUUAGCUUGUUGGUGAGGUAAUGGCUCACCAAGGCUUCGAUCAGUAGCUGGUCUGAGAGGAUGAUCAGCCACACUGGGACUGAGACACGGCCCAGACUCCUACGGGAGGCAGCAGUGGGGAAUUUUCCGCAAUGGGCGAAAGCCUGACGGAGCAACGCCGCGUGAGGGAUGAAGGCCUCUGGGCUGUAAACCUCUUUUCUCAAGGAAGAAGAUCUGACGGUACUUGAGGAAUAAGCCACGGCUAAUUCCGUGCCAGCAGCCGCGGUAAUACGGGAGUGGCAAGCGUUAUCCGGAAUUAUUGGGCGUAAAGCGUCCGCAGGCGGCCCUUCAAGUCUGCUGUUAAAACGUGGAGCUUAACUCCAUCAAGGCAGUGGAAACUGUUGGGCUUGAGUGUGGUAGGGGCAGAGGGAAUUCCCGGUGUAGCGGUGAAAUGCGUAGAUAUCGGGAAGAACACCAGUGGCGAAGGCGCUCUGCUGGGCCAUAACUGACGCUCAUGGACGAAAGCCAGGGGAGCGAAAGGGAUUAGAUACCCCUGUAGUCCUGGCCGUAAACGAUGAACACUAGGUGUCGGGGGAAUCGACCCCCUCGGUGUCGUAGCCAACGCGUUAAGUGUUCCGCCUGGGGAGUACGCACGCAAGUGUGAAACUCAAAGGAAUUGACGGGGGCCCGCACAAGCGGUGGAGUAUGUGGUUUAAUUCGAUGCAACGCGAAGAACCUUACCAGGGUUUGACAUCCUGCGAACCUUUAAGAAAUUAGAGGGUGCCUUCGGGAACGCAGUGACAGGUGGUGCAUGGCUGUCGUCAGCUCGUGUCGUGAGAUGUUGGGUUAAGUCCCGCAACGAGCGCAACCCACGUUUUUAGUUGCCAGCAUUCAGUUGGGCACUCUAGAGAGACCGCCGGUGAUAAACCGGAGGAAGGUGUGGAUGACGUCAAGUCAUCAUGCCCCUUACAUCCUGGGCUACACACGUACUACAAUGCUACGGACAAAGGGCAGCAAACUCGCGAGAGCUAGCAAAUCCCAUAAACCGUGGCUCAGUUCAGAUCGUAGGCUGCAACUCGCCUACGUGAAGGAGGAAUCGCUAGUAAUCGCAGGUCAGCAUACUGCGGUGAAUACGUUCCCGGGCCUUGUACACACCGCCCGUCACACCAUGGAAGUUGGCCACGCCCGAAGUCGUUACUCCAACCCUUGUGGAGGAGGACGCCGAAGGUGGGGCUGAUGACUGGGGUGAAGUCGUAACAAGGUAGCCGUACCGGAAGGUGCGGCUG
rnacentral:rRNA from 1 species